rnacentral:rRNA from 1 species
CUCCCAGACUCCUACGGGAGGCAGCAGUGAGGAAUAUUGGUCAAUGGGCGGGAGCCUGAACCAGCCAAGUCGCGUGAGGGAAGACGGCCCUACGGGUUGUAAACCUCUUUUGUCGGGGAGCAAAGCGAGUCACGUGUGACUCAUUGAGAGUACCCGAAGAAAAAGCAUCGGCUAACUCCGUGCCAGCAGCCGCGGUAAUACGGAGGAUGCGAGCGUUAUCCGGAUUUAUUGGGUUUAAAGGGUGCGCAGGCGGAGGUGCAAGUCAGCGGUCAAAUUGCGGGGCUCAACCCCGUACUGCCGUUGAAACUGCAUCCCUUGAGUGCGCGAGAAGUAUGCGGAAUGCGUGGUGUAGCGGUGAAAUGCAUAGAUAUCGCGCAGAACUCCGAUUGCGAAGGCAGCAUGCCGGCUCCACACUGACGCUGAGGCACGAAAGCGUGGGUAUCGAACAGGAUUAGAUACCCCUGUA